rnacentral:rRNA from 1 species
UAGUAUAAGCAAUUAUACAGCGAAACUGCGAAUGGCUCAUUAUAUAAGUUAUCGUUUAUUUGAUAGUACCUUACUACUUGGAUAACCGUGGUAAUUCUAGAGCUAAUACAUGCUGAAAAUCCCGACUCCGGAAGGGAUGUAUUUAUUAGAUUCAAAGCCAAUGCCCUCCGGGCUCACUGGUGAUUCAUGAUAACUCCUCGAAUCGCACGGCCUUGCGCCGGCGAUGGUUCAUUCAAAUUUCUUCCCUAUCAACUUUCGAUGUUUGGGUAGUGGCCAAACAUGGUUGCAACGGGUAACGGAGGGUUAGGGCUCGACCCCGGAGAAGGAGCCUGAGAAACGGCUACUACAUCCAAGGAAGGCAGCAGGCGCGCAAAUUACCCAAUCCCGACACGGGGAGGUAGUGACAAUAAAUACUGAUACAGGGCUCUUUUGGGUCUUGUAAUUGGAAUGAGUACAAUUUAAAUCCCUUAACGAGGAACAAUUGGAGGGCAAGUCUGGCC